UACGGAGGGGGCUAGCGUUGUUCGGAUUCAUUGGGCGUAAAGGGUGCGUAGGUGGCGCCGUAAGUCAGGUGUGAAAUCUCGGGGCUCAACCCCGAAACUGCACUUGAUACUGCGGUGCUCGAGUACUGGAGAGGAGAUUGGAAUUUACGGUGUAGCAGUGAAAUGCGUAGAUAUCGUAAGGAAGACCAGUGGCGAAGGCGAAUCUCUGGACAGUUACUGACACUGAGGCACGAAGGCCAGGGGAGCAAACGGG
rnacentral:rRNA from 1 species